rnacentral:pre_miRNA from 1 species
UGAUGAUGAUGAUGAUGAUGAUGGUGAUGGUGGUGGUUGUGGUGGUGGUGGUGGCGGCGGCGGCAGCGAUAAGGAGAAGGACGGUAUGAGGAGGAGGGGGAGCAUCAUUACCAAAACCACCAAAACCACCAUCAUCAUCAUCCUCAUCAUCAUCA